UACGAAGGGGGCUAGCGUUGCUCGGAAUUACUGGGUUUAAAGGGUGCGCAGGCGGAUAUGUAAGUCAGUGGUGAAAUCUCUAGGCUUAACCUGGAAAUUGCCGUUGAUACUAUAUAUCUUGAAUGCUGUGGAGGUAAGCGGAAUAUGUCAUGUAGCGGUGAAAUGCUUAGAUAUGACAUAGAACACCUAUUGCGAAGGCAGCUUACUACGCAGAUAUUGACGCUCAUGCACGAAAGCGUGGGGAUCAAACAGG
rnacentral:rRNA from 1 species